AUUGAACGCUGGCGGCAGGCCUAACACAUGCAAGUCGAGCGGAGCGGCGGACGGGUGAGUAAUGCCUAGGAAUCUGCCUGGUAGUGGGGGAUAACGUCCGGAAACGGGCGCUAAUACCGCAUACUAUCAGAUGAACCCAUAUGGGAUUAGCUAGUAGGUGGGGUAAAGGCUCACCAAGGCGACGAUCCGUAGCUGGUCUGAGAGGAUGAUCAGUCACACUGGGACUGAGACACGGCCCAGACUCCUACGGGAGGCAGCAGUGGGGAAUAUUGCACAAUGGGCGCAAGCCUGAUGCAGCCAUGCCGCGUGUGUGAAGAAGGCCUUAGGGUUGUAAAGUACUUUCAGCGGGGAGGCGUUACCCACAGAAGAAGCACCGGCUAACUCCGUGCCAGCAGCCGCGGUAAUAC
rnacentral:rRNA from 1 species